GUGUCUUUAUUUUCUGUAAAAAGGGUCACGUAGUAGGUCAUGCACUUACUAGUGGAGGAAGCAGCUCUGAACCCCAACCCCAAGCUGCCCCUGCACCAGUUGCCCAACCUCAGGGAUAUCCACAGUACCAAGGUUACCAACAGUACCCUCAACAGAGUGGGCCCAGUGAACCUCAAGGACCUUGUGCCUGGGAAAUUAAACAGUUCUUGCAAUGUGCCCAAACACAGUCUGAUGUUUCUGUAUGUGAAGGCUUUAAUGAAGCAUUAAGGCAAUGCAAAGCACAGCACCAGAAUCAAAUGAUGGUUUAGUGUACUCCAGGAAAUGGAUGGCAGGGAGUCGUGAUGUGUUUUGUAUAGUACUGAUGAUAUAAAUUGUAACUCAAAAAUAUCUGAUAGUAUAACAAUGUCCAUAUUGUUUAGAGAAUGGAAUAACCUUGGCUCAUAUCUCAUAUUUUGUUUUAUCCAUCAAAAGUGCCCAGUAUGUUUAUGUAGUAUAUGCAUACUGGUUUAUAUGUUUUGCUGAUUCUGAGAAUCCCUGUUGGCUUUUUUUCCUUUGUACAUAAUCAGCCGCAUAAAUAUUACAUUGUACUUCAUAGGCCAUUGCUGUUUUUAAGUUAAAAGUAAUUUGUAAAAUAACUGAACUGUUAAUAAAUAUUUUAUGUAAUGUAUAAAA